rfam:Camelus ferus unplaced genomic scaffold scaffold2081, whole genome shotgun sequence.
GAGGGUAUAGCUCAAGUGGUAGAGCACAUGCUUAGCAUGCAGGAGGUCCUGGGUUCAAUCCCCAGUACCUCCU